rnacentral:misc_RNA from 1 species
UCCGGUUUGACACCGGCAGUCUCCCUAGAGUGCCCGGCAUAACCCGCUGGUAACUAGGGACGAGGGUUGCGCUCGUUGCGGGGCUUAACCCAACAUCUCACGACACGAGCUGACGACAGCCAUGCAGCACCUGUGCACGGACUCCGAAGAGGGGCCGAUGUUUCCACCGGCGGUCACCGACAUGUCAAGCCCAGGUAAGGUUCUUCGCGUUGCGUCGAAUUGAACCACAUGCUCCGCUGCUUGUGCGGGUCCCCGUCAAUUCCUUUGAGUUUUAAUCUUGCGACCGUACUCCCCAGGCGGGGUGCUUAAUGCGUUUGCUGCGCCACCGACCGGCAUGCCGACCGACGGCUAGCACCCAUAGUUUACGGCGUGGACUAC